CGGGAGGUAGCGCAGUUUGGUCAGCGCGCAACGUUCGGGACGUUGAAGCCGCGGGUUCGAAUCCCGCCCUCCCGA
rnacentral:tRNA from 1 species